AGGAUAGCUUCAGUGAACAUUCAACGCUGUCGGUGAGUUUGGAAUCGAGAGCAAACCAUCGACCGUUGACUGUACCUUGAGGUUUAUCACUGAC
ensembl:miRNA aca-mir-181a-2 aca-mir-181a-2